UUGACAACUUCCUGUUUGACGGUUUGAAGCAGAAGUUUAUAAGAAUCUGCGUGUGUCCUUCUUCUUUCAUUUUCCACUACGGUAAUGGCAGCUGAGACGUCGAAAAAUUUCGUGCAAAAUUGAUGUAAAUAACCUGGCGAUGGUCAGAUGAUGGGCUGAAAGUUACCAUUUUUGUGCAAUGUGCAUCAUUGUGUUCCAGGUUGGAUGAGAUCGCCCCAGGAGACAGCUAUGUUGCUUGCUAUCAUCAUACUAUGAUUGCCAAUAAGCAGGAUGUUAAAUAAGAUGCAGGCAGCUGACUCUGGGUGUUAUUCUAUUUGAAAUCUAGGUAACAAAGUAAACUUAACCACCUGAAUAUUUUUUUUUUGCUUUGAUCUAGUUGUACUACAUUAAGUGCUGUGUAACCAUGUAUGCAAGUGGAGACAGAAAAAUAAAAUUAUUGGAAGAAA